AUGACGUGUGCCUGUCGUUACAGAGGAGGGAUGUGCACAAACAGCCAUGCUGCUGGGAGAAUGGAGAAUCUCUCUAAGAUGGGACUGAGCAUGCAGCUAUUUGAGUCCCAGAGCUCUACAGAUGUCCAGAUGGAAGACUAGAGUGCACAGCAAUCAGUGAGUAAUUGGGUAAGUGAUAGACCUGCUGCAAAGCAGCAUUACCUCAGCCUU
rnacentral:lncRNA from 12 species